GACGACGCCAACACAAACCCCGACAAGCCAAAGAAACCCCGAGGAGCUUUUCGGGAUCACUCUCGGAGCACCGCAGCGGAAAACUGCGAAGGAGACCGAUUACCCAGCGGACUUUAAGCAAGUUACUGCCCCUCAUAUUUGGAAGUGAGAACUGAGGCAUGUCCACGGAGGAAGAAACAGGCAGACAACUAUCGCCGCAGAUCAGGGGAACAAAGCCGCCACGCCAAACCUCAGGUAUGUGCGGGUAAUUAGUUUGCUAAUUAGCUGUUUUGAUGUCAGCCCGUCAUCCACUUCUGAUAUGAGUGAUGCGCGGUCUGUUUGUUCACAGCAUAGCGGAGGAUUUGACACCUGCCACAUAUGGGAAACCUGCAGCCUGGAGGGAUUUCAGUGCAGCAGUCUCGCUAAAUGCAACAAAAAAUACGCUUAAUGUGGCGGGCUCUCUGUGGCUGCACAGCUUCCAGAGGUCUUUCUGGAGCAGACGACAUGAAGCAUGGCAGUCAAAGGGCCAUAAACUGAACAAAUGACUCGUUCCCCCUCGCAGCACAGGGCCAUCUACUGCUGAUAAGGCCGAAUACUACAAAUUACCGACAAAGCUCCUCCUGAGGCAUGUGGUGGCUGCGCGCUAGCCUGCAUGGCUAACAAGUAGUCUGUGCACAACCGCGGCGACUUUAUCUCAAGUUAAAACAAAUGUCACCGCUGACAAAGAGAAGUGAAAAAGUGUUUAUAGUAGUAAAGGAUAUGAAAGGAGGAGGAGAUUUGCCGGAUUUUCUCCUCCGUUAGCAUUCUCACGGAAUUUUAAGUGACACUUUGAUGUGGAAGUGGGAGGAAGCAAUUGUCUGUAAUAUUAAUAAGCCCAUUUUUUUUUUUUCUGUUACCUCUGACUCAGACGGUGUUUCUGUUUCCAACUAAUCCACGCGAACACUUGGGAGACACAGCACUCAGACCUGCUUAAUUAUUCUCUCUGUUCUGCUGUCAGACAACUGUUUGACCAUUAAAAAUAAACAAUGCCGGAUCACAGAGCAUGAACGGAGCGCGAAUUACGGUGCAUAUCUUCAGCGCUGGAGAGACAAAAUAAAUCCUGCGGAAGGCACGUUAGCAACAAACUGCACUUUGAUCUGUCCAAAUAACAACUGGAAGCUGAUUAUAACGCGUGCCAGUUAAUUAUUUACACUGUUAGAUUGCACUGAAAGGGGCCAGGUUGAUUUCUGUUGUAAAAAAAAUUAAUCCGGACAGUGAUUCUCAUCAUUUAUACAUCAAUUCCUACAUUUCCCAUGAUGCAUCAUGGGAAAUGUAGGAAUUGAUGCACAAACUUCAUAGCAUUUUAUAUUAGAUCAUCACAGCCUGCUAAAUGCCCCCGUCUCCUAGUUUGAGCGCAGGCUUGCUAUUUAAAUAUUUGUACCUCCAAGCGCAAGCUGAGUUUACCUUGAUUACAUCACUAUGACAUCAUCAGGGUUACUUUCUCAGACUUAAGAAAUCCGCCUCCAUAGCCACAAUAGACGUAAAACUGUCCCAGCCAACAUUUUAAAAUGCAAGAAGGACAAAAGGUUUAAAAAACUAAGCUUCAGUUUGUCUGAAUACAUCUUGCUAACCUGAGGCUUCAUAGUCUUGCUUGCAUCAGAUCACCCUCGUUGACAUUUGCGCAAAAAUCAGACGUUUUCAACUUUGGGCUCCACGUUUUCCCACCUGGUUGUGCAUGUCUGCUCCCGCAGUGGCGUUAAAACUUACUACGGGAGCUCGCCCCACAGUUAAA